AAACACUGUGUUAGAAGGUCUGAAAGGGGAUCACGUGACACCCCUGCCCUGGAUGCUGCGACCGUCAUAAAUAUGAGUCAGUUGCCAAGUGUCUAAAUUUUGAUCACGUGACCCUGGGGAUGAGGGAAGGGCCGUGAGUGUGAAAAACGUUCACAAGUCACUUUUUCCGGUGAUGUUGGAACGGUCACUAAAUGGGCUGUUGUAAGUCAGGGACUGCCUGCGCCCCCAGAGAUCUUUCAGGAGCCACAAUUAAAGCCGUGUGUGGUGCUUGGCCUGACGGGCAGCAGCCUCCCCUACUUCCCCCGGGGGAAAUGUGGCCCUGGACGGAGGCUGCUCCCGCUCUGGGGGAAAAGGGUGCCCAGCCCUCCUGCGCACGCAUGCACGGCUUCCGUGCUCUGGGAGGCCUAAACUUAGUGACGGUAACCUUUCAAGCCCUCAAGUCCUCCGAGCCCAGCUUUCUACAGAAGCAAGAAAACUCAGAGGAACUCAGAGGAACCGGGGUCUACGUUAGGAACACUAAAACGGGAAAGAGAGUGAGAUUCCCCUGGUUAUCGGCCCAGGCGGGCACAGCCAGGACUGACCCGCAGGACGGACGGAGGGCCGUUGGAGCAGCAGCCGCCACCGAGGCUGAGCUGGGGGGAGGAGAGGGGAGGCCAGGCCCCACGGAGGCCCCUCCCCAGAGAGGCUGCUGCUUGGAAACAAGGCCCAUUAGAUGCAGGGGGGGAGAAGGGGGGGUGACACAUUAUUCCACACUAGAGGGGGGAAGCUGGGGGAGGAGACACCCAACAGACAGGGCAAGCCGUUGUCCAGGCCCUCUGCCUGUCUACUCCAAAGCAGUUCAUUCUUAGAGAGCCCCCCCCUGCCCUCCCCCCUCCUGGCGAAUGGCUCUGGUCUGCCGGGAAGGGCCAGGAGACAAGCGGGGAGAAAAAACAGGCCUCUUUCCCUGCACAGGCUUGCCCGCCUCUUCCCCAGGGAUCCGAUUAGUGCAAAUUACGGGGCAGAGCGAGGAGGGAACCACCUGAGCACCCGACGGAGGCCCCUUCCUGGCCCCCAAGAUCGAUCGGGGCACCCCAAAAGGGGAGAUCGGGGUUCCUGCUUGGAAACAGGCCUUCCUGCGGCCUCAGGUCUGGGGGUGACUCCUGUCAGGAUGGUAACUGCGGGGUCGGAGAACGAAAGCCCUUUGCGUAAUUAAAUGGCUGAAGGUUUGUAAGACCGCCAAACGCCCAAGAGGUCGGUUUUCUCACCAAAGUUGUGACCUUGUGAGACGUUGGCCCCCUAAAAAUCACCUGUGUUCAUUUUGACACUCGUGUUCCACAGGCCAACCCUUCAGCCUCCACCACCCGCUCCCCGACUUCCUUAAGCCACGGGCAAGCAGGCGGGGCUGAGCACCCAAGGACCCUCCCAGAGAAACAUGAACCCGGGCCGGGGAGAGGAGGCGGCGGACUUUGCAGGCUCCUGGGCAGCCCAUCAGCACCUGCGCCUCUCCCAGACCGGAAGACAGAUGGCGGCAGGACCAGAAAGGGAGGGCCAAGGGGGGGGAGGAGGAGGGAGGGAGGGGGCCUUCCCCCCCCCCACAGCCAUCUGUCACCCACAAGACAGCCGGAGGCACCAACUAAUCCAAUCAGCCACUUGCCUGGACCGAGAGACGGCUCCCAAGAGCCCCUGGACCCCUUCCUCGGAGGGACAAGUUGGACUGGGCUUGGUUUGGGUAACAUGGGGAGGGGGUUGCCCUGAGGCGAAGGACAAAGACUCCUGGAGCCCCUCCCAGACUUGCUUUCCCUCCUGGGGUGCACUCCCAGGGGCACCAACCGCCAGCCAGCUGUCAGGCAAGCCGAGACCUGUUGCCAGAAGCCAAACAGGGGAGACGUCACUGCACACUGGGGGGGGCGGGGGGGUCUGCCAGGCACUCCUCAAGGUGGACAACGACAGAGCCAGGACCAGGUUCGGGCCUCAUGCAAAGCCACAGCGAUGGAUGGAGGGCGGUUCUGCAAGCAGCGGGGCGCAAGCAAGCGAGGCAUGCAAGCCGAGGCCUCAGACACAUGCAGCGGGAAGGAAGCGGAGCUGGAAGGAGGCGGCGGUUCUCCCCGACCCGCUGAGUUCGGGGCUUUGCAGCUGGUGUAGCCUGCUGUGUCUCGGGACCGGGAAGAAGGACCCCCCUCCCCCUGGAAACAGGAAAGAGGGCCCUGCAGAGCGAAAGCUGCGAGCACGCAGGGAUGACGGGCCAGCAAGUAGACCGGCUCUUCGCAACGUCUUUGGGCAAGUGAGACAAGCCGUGUUUGUGGGCUGAGGUCGCUCACAAAUGCUACGGAGAAGACUACCGUCUCCAGCAGGCUGAGAGCUCUAAAGAAGAAACAGCCUCCUUGCUCAACCCACAGAUGGCCCCUUCAGAGGGAUUAUAUAUUUCAUUUUCUAAUCACUUCUGGAAAGAAUUGUCGGUUGCUUUUCAGCCAUUAGGAACCUCUGGAUCAACAAGUUGGACAGCACUGGGGAAGCAUCCUUCAAUCCCUACCGGAACAACAACCAGAGCGGCUGAGAGCAGACCAAGAGAGGGAGGAUGCUCUCCACUGAAGGGUAACCAUAGCAACGCCGAGAGCUCCGAGGAGGAUGCUGGCUGAUAACCAGGAGCCAGCCGGAUCCCGCCGCCGGCCCUCGGCACGCAGCCCGCCCGAACACCGGGAACCGGCGGCCCGCUAGCCCAGCCGGGCGCCGCCCCCCCAGUCGCCGCUCCUUCCCCGGACCGGCGGGACUCCGGGC